rnacentral:rRNA from 1 species
GACGAACGCUGGCGGCGUGCCUAAUACAUGCAAGUUGAGCGCUGAAGGUUGGUACUUGUACCGACUGGAUGAGCAGCGAACGGGUGAGUAACGCGUGGGGAAUCUGCCUUUGAGCGGGGGACAACAUUUGGAAACGAAUGCUAAUACCGCAUAAAAACUUUAAACACAAGUUUUAAGUUUGAAAGAUGCAAUUGCAUCACUCAAAGAUGAUCCCGCGUUGUAUUAGCUAGUUGGUGAGGUAAAGGCUCACCAAGGCGAUGAUACAUAGCCGACCUGAGAGGGUGAUCGGCCACAAUGGGACUGAGACACGGCCCAAACUCCUACGGGGGGCCGCAGUAGGGAAUCUUCGGCAAUGGGCGGAAGUCUGACCGAGCAACGCCGCGUGAGUGAAGGAGGGUUUCGGGUCGUAAAAGUCUGUUGGUAGAGAAGAACGUUGGUGAGAGUGGAAAGCUCAUCAAGUGACGGUAACUACCCAGAAAGGGACGGCUAACUACGUG